GACGAACGCUGGCGGCGUGCCUAAUACAUGCAAGUUGAGCGCUGAAGGUUGGUACUUGUACCAACUGGAUGAGCAGCGAACGGGUGAGUAACGCGUGGGGAAUCUGCCUUUGAGCGGGGGACAACAUUUGGAAACGAAUGCUAAUACCGCAUAAAAACUUUAAACACAAGUUUUAAGUUUGAAAGAUGCGAUUGCAUCACUCAAAGAUGAUCCCGCGUUGUAUUAGCUAGUUGGUGAGGUAAAGGCCCACCAAGGCGAUGAUACAUAGCCGACCUGAGAGGGUGAUCGGCCACAUUGGGACUGAGACACGGCCCAAACUCCUACGGGAGGCAGCAGUAGGGAAUCUUCGGCAAUGGACGAAAGUCUGACCGAGCAACGCCGCGUGAGUGAAGAAGGUUUUCGGAUCGUAAAACUCUGUUGGUAGAGAAGAACGUUGGUGAGAGUGGAAAGCUCAUCAAGUGACGGUAACUACCCAGAAAGGGACGGCUAACUACGUG
rnacentral:rRNA from 1 species